rnacentral:rRNA from 1 species
UACGGAGGGAGCUAGCGUUGUUCGGAAUUACUGGGCGUAAAGCGCGCGUAGGCGGUUUUUUAAGUCAGAGGUGAAAGCCCAGUGCUCAACACUGGAACUGCCUUUGAAACUGGAAAACUUGAAUCUUGGAGAGGUCAGUGGAAUUCCGAGUGUAGAGGUGAAAUUCGUAGAUAUUCGGAAGAACACCAGUGGCGAAGGCGACUCACUGGACACGUAUUGACGCUGAGGUGCGAAAGCGUGGGGAGCAAACAGG